AAAGUGCGAUAAGUAAUGUGAAUUGCGGAAUUCGUGAAUCAUCAAGUUUUUGAACGCAUAUGGCACCAAUUUUAACAUUGGUACAUCUGUUUGAGUGUUGGUUCAUUUCUUUCUUUUUCAUUUUAAUGAUUUUGAAGAUAUGUUUGACUUUUUCUAUUUUGAUAGUCAUAUUUAAUCGAUUAUUAUAAUUAUUAUCAUCAUAAUUCUAAUUUAUUUUAAAUUAUUAGAUAAAUGUUGAUUUUAAAUUUAAUAACCAAUUAUAAUUGAUGAUCAACCUCAAAUCAGAUGAGAUUACCCGCUGAAUUUAA
rnacentral:misc_RNA from 1 species